rnacentral:misc_RNA from 1 species
GACAUAAAUAACUGAUUAGUCAAAUUAGUUGCGAAGAGUGUUUGUGCAAAAAUGUUAUUAAUUAUUUAAAACAUUUCAUUUCUGUAUUGUGAAAUUUAUUAAUUAAAUCUUUGUAACAUUUCUUAUACUACAUUGUAUGUCAACCUUAAAGAACUCUCCGUUAUCUAAGUUACCUUUGACACAUGAUUAAUGUGUCAGCUGUCAGUCAAUUGUUUGAUGUACUUUGACCAAACAGAGUACAUACAUAAAUAUGAAUUAGGAGACACGUGAUAGAUUAUAAAUAUUAACUUUUAAAUUUGAAAUACUGUAAGCUUUUUGAACUGUUAUAUUUAGUCAAUAUGGGUAACAGAUCCAGCUUACUUUUACGCGAAGAAGAAAUAGCGCAAAUCCAAGAAGCUACUGGAUUUACUCCAAAUCAAAUUGAACGUCUGUACAGUCGUUUUACUAGUCUUGAUCGCGGAGAUUGUGGAACUUUGAGCAGGGAAGAUUUUCUCAGAAUUCCAGAAUUGGCAAUCAAUCCUCUUGGUGAUAGAAUUGUAAAUGCUUUUUUCGAAGAAAGCGGUAAUGAUAGAGUCAAUUUUCUACAAUUUAUGCAAGUGCUGGCUCACUUUAGACCCAUUAAAAAGAAUAGUCCCAAUAGGUUAAAUUCUAGGCAAGAAAAAUUGAAAUUUGCUUUCAAAAUGUACGAUUUAGAUAAUGAUGAUUUGAUAUCCAAAGAUGAACUUUUAGCUAUUUUGCAUAUGAUGGUUGGUGCAAACAUUAGUGAGGAACAGUUAACUAGCAUUGCAGAACGCACCAUAGUAGAGGCAGAUGAGAAUGGUGAUGGAAUGAUAUCGUUUGAAGAAUUCUGCAAAGCUCUGGAACGAACAGAUGUUGAGCAAAAAAUGUCUAUAAGAUAAUCUCAUUUAUUUUACAUAAAAAGGGAAGUCAAAACAGUUAUCAAUGUAUUGAAAGAUAUUACAGAUUUUGACAACCUACUCUUUACAAUGUCUAAUUAGUUACACGAUUUGUUACUCAUUUUACAAUCUUCCAAAAAGUGACAAGGUCUACUCUUAUAAUACCAUUGAAAAAUAAGUUAUACUACUGUUGACGCAUUUUAAAAAAUUGGGGUA